CUUAGCCAGCAGGGAAGUCAGACCAAGAUGAAGGACGAAGUACGUAAGGGAUUAAUUGCUGCCCGACAGUUGGCCCAGUUGAAUAAUUACAAAGCCAAGAUUAAUAUCGUAAAUUGAUUAAAACCGACGUUUCCAUUGCCAAUCAAAAUUGCAUAGAUGUGAAGAAAAAAUUUUCUAUAUUAACAUAUCGCGGAAUUGGCUGUAAUAAUUGUAUGAAUUUCACGUGGAAGAAGACUUU